ACAUUACAUUUAUAUAAUAUUAAUUUAAUCAAAAAAAUAAAAACUUAUUACCUAACAAAAAAUAAAAAAAAUAAAAAAAAAUAAUAAUAAAAUAAAAUAAAAUAAAAAAAAGUGACACAUCAUAGCUAUUAGCGUAUCGUUCAGUAAAAUUGAAGGUGUGAAGUAAAACAGUUCUAAUACUUGUGAAUUUGAAUUAAUAUAAGGUAUUCAUACAAAAAAAAUUGGAUAGCAAGUGACAAAAAUAAUUUUUUGUGUUACUUGAUUCCAGUUUUAUUCAAGACGUCAACGAAAUUACUAAAGCAAAAUGAAGAAGUCUAAACAGAAAACUGGGUCCUCUACUGUGGUAAAGAGACAAAAAGUUUCACAUUCUAAUGCGAAGAAAAAUGAAUCAUCAGUAACAGAGAAAAAGUUCACUGUUUAUACAUCUGGAUCAUCGAAAGAUAAUACAUUUUCAUCGUCGAAACAUUCCACAAUUACAUCUGGAUCAACAGGUACUGAAUAUGUACCAAUCAGGCGUCGGAC